CCCAACAAAGAAAGGAAAUUUCCCCGAAUUGGAAUAGCAUUUCCAACGGAGGGAUUAACAUAACAACGUCUCCAAGUAAUAGAGGCGGACAAGUUGCGUUUUAUGUGUUGCCUAUUUGAAGAAACUUACUCUAUCUAAGUAAACUGAAAGAAAAUUAAGUCCUAAAUUUUAUUUUUUUGGACAUGUCCUCUUUUUACAAUUUAUUUCCAAAUCAGUUUAAAUUUAUUUUAUUUUCCAAUAAAUGGCUGCUGACUUUCCUUUUUUAUUCUUUCGGUCUCUCCUCUUUCUCUGUGUUCCUCUCUCUAACUUGUCAUGCCGUCCAAGCCACCAGAGAAAGAGGAAGAAGAGACCAAGCUGCGCUGAUUGUAUUAGUUGUUGAUUGUUAAUUUGAUGAGUUGGGGGUUGUGAGCAAGAAAGUAUAGAUGGGUGUUACCAGAAAAGUAUAUCAGUUUACUUGCUUGUCUACUCUUCUUCCCCUGAUGCAGCAGCUCUUAUAGUUGGAGAUUAGUCCAUGUUUGGCAAUUGGCUUUAACAAAUUCCACCAUAGUUUUUUGUUUUAUGUGCAACUUUAAAGCAAAGAAAAUGAAAUAUUGAGUUUGAUUUGAUCUGAGAGAGAGGUGAAUUUUCAUCUUUUAGGGUUUGGAUCGUUGCCGGUUGAACAGACCGGCGAAUCGGCUGCCGCGGCGACGGCGGCGUCUGAUUCUCAGAGAUCAAUUCCGACGCCGUUCCUCACCAAAACCCAUCAACUAGUAAAGGAUUCGUCCAUCGUCGACUUGAUCUCUUGGAACGAAGAGGAACCACCUUCAUCGUCUGGCGACUAGCUAAAUUUGCUUCGUUCGACAGCUAAACACUCACGGAUUUAAAAAGGUCGUGCCUGAUCGGUGGGAUUUGCCAGGUCCAAAUCGGCAUGAGAGUUUAGAGAGAGAAACAUAGACAUGAGAAGAGAGGAGAGACCCGGAAGAAACCCAAAAAAAAUUAAAAAAAUCAGCAGCCAAUACAACUUCAAUUCUUAUAUUUGAAGAUGAUUGGUACUUUAAUAGUUAAGUCAGCUUUUAUGGCAGAAAUUCUUAUGCUUCGUGGAAGUAUUAAGAUGUUGAUUAACUGGGGCUUCUCCAGUGUGAUUGUUGAGAGAGAUUGUCGAGAGAGAUUGUCAAGUAGCCAUGGCUCUUGUCCCAAAUGAUACUCUCUCAAUUACAGUUUUAGAUGAUAUUUUUGCUUUACUUCAGUUGGGCAAUGGUGAUUUUCUUUUGUCUUGGGCUAAUCGAGAUUGUAACUAUGUUGCUCACCAUCCAACGAAGAUGGCUCUCAGUUGUAAAAGAGUGGAUAGUGAUUGGAAUGUGUGGCCUUCAGGGCUACUCAAUCUCAUUGCUGUUGACCUUCUUUCAGUUUCUCUAUAAAAUGUUCUUCCGUUGCUCACCAAUGGUGAUUUUCUUU